rnacentral:rRNA from 1 species
AUGGCGCGAGUCGAGCACGAAGAGACUACACUUGCCGGGGUGGACCGGGAAGAAGGGGGAGGUGGGGGACAAGGGAGAAAACCAGCACAGUACCGUCUCGUCGUUCUCGAAGAACCCCAGCAAGGGAGGCGCCCCGUGGAACUCGCGGUAGAGGCGGGUGAAGGCGGGGCCGGCGAGGCGGCUGCGCCAGGGUUUGCAGACGAGGGAGGCCCGGAAGAGGCACCCGGGGUCGUCCGGCGGGAGGCGGAGGAGGAUCUCCUCGAGGAGCUCGUCCGGCAGCGUCGCCGGCGGCGGCGGCAUGGCGGGUGGAGGCGUGGGUUGUGGCCGGAAUGGAAGGAGCAACUGCUGGGUCUGCGUUCGUGGGUCAUUUCACAGGCUCACAGGGUUGGGCUCAAGUCUCAACCAGCUCCGCGUGUGUGGGGGGAUUUCUGCCAAAGUGGAACCGGGGAGGCAGCGAGACUGGGACUGGUGCGUAGUGGAGGAGCUGAUUUCUCCAAGCGGGCAGUGGCAAUGGCGUGCUACGCCGCUCUCCUGCACCAGCCGCCCGCCUCGCCGUCCCCGUGCACCUCAGGCCGCGCCGGCUCCUGCCGUGUCCGUCCGCCCCCACUCCUCCAGCGCCGAGCCCUUCCCCUGUCUGUGCGCGCUCGGAUCUCCCCCCGCUGCUCCUACGCCGCAGCCGGAGAAAGCGCCGGAGCGGGCGCCGGGGAACAGCCCGCGGCGGCGCUCCGGAGAGUGCUGGGGACGCCGGGCGCCCACCAGGCGCCCGCUUGCUACGACGCGCUCAGCGCCCGCCUCGUCGAGCGCGCGGGGUUCAGGGCCUGCUUCACGAGCGGCUUCUCAAUAUCUGCUGCAAGGCUUGGAUUGCCAGAUGUUGGUCUCAUCUCCUAUGGUGAAAUGAUAGAUCAAGGGCGUUUAAUCACUGAAGCAGUAUCGAUACCUGUCAUUGGUGAUGCUGAUAAUGGUUAUGGAAACUGUAUGAAUGUCAAGAGGACAGUGAAAGGAUUUAUUAAUGCUGGUUUUGCUGGAAUUAUUCUUGAAGAUCAGGUGUCACCAAAAGCAUGUGGACAUACACAAGGAAGGAAAGUUGUCUCAAGAGAGGAAGCGAUUAUGCACAUAAAAGCCGCUGUAGAUGCCAGGAAGGAGAGUGGCUCUGACAUUGUUAUUGUGGCAAGGACAGAUUCUCGUCAAGCUUUGUCUCUUGAUGAAGCGUUAUGGAGAGCACGAGCUUUUGCUGAUGCUGGAGCAGAUGUUCUAUUUAUUGAUGCCCUUGCCUCAAGGGAAGAGAUGAUGGCGUUUUGUGCAGUUUCACCUGGAGUUCCAAAAAUGGCCAACAUGUUAGAAGGUGGUGGUAAAACUCCUAUAUUGAGCCCUCUUGAACUUGAAGAAAUUGGUUACAAAAUCAUAGCCUACCCAUUAUCUCUAAUUGGGGUAUCAAUGCGUGCAAUGGAGGAUGCUCUUGUUGCUAUAAAAGGUGGCCGCAUACCUCCUCCAAGUAGCUUGCCAUCAUUUGAGGAGAUCAAGGAUACGCUAGGGUUUAACCGUUAUUAUGAAGAGGAAAAGCGAUACGUUGCAUCACCAGCUCAAUCAUCCUUUUGGAGUGGUAAUUAUGAUUAUACAAGUGAAGCUAGCAGUUCAGGAGACACCAAGUCCAGGACUGAGAAAUCACAAGAACCUAUUAUUGACAUACUGCCACAGCUCUAUGAUCCUGGUUCCGCUGGAGGCAGAGGUCCUUCAGGUGGGAUGUGGUCCCGCACACUUCGAUUGAAGAUUACAGGAAGAGAUGGGGUCCAGAAAAUUGAUGCCAGGAUACCUGCUGGAUUCUUAGAAGGGAUGACAAAAGUUAUUCCAGGCCUGGCUGGAACUAAUAUCAUGGAAAGGCUUCGGAACGCGCCUAUGGAUUCGGACAACCCCCAGAACGGGCAGAUACUGCUUGAUUUUGAGGACGGCAGGGGAGAUAGGAUCCAGGUUUUCAUCGCGUGA